GUCUCUGUAGCGCAAUGGGUAACGCGUUGGACAUCUAAUCCAAAAGUCGUGGGUUUGAAUCUCACCGGGGGUG